AACGAACGCUGGCGGUAGGCCUAACACAUGCAAGUCGAACGCCCUAGCAAUAGGGAGUGGCAGACGGGUGAGUAACACGUGGGAACGUGCCCUUCGGUUCGGAAUAACUAAGGGAAACUUGAGCUAAUACCGGAUAAGUGCGAGAGCAGAAAGAUUUAUCGCCGAAGGAUCGGCCCGCGUCCGAUUAGCUAGUUGGUGAGGUAAUGGCUCACCAAGGCGACGAACGGUAGCUGGUCUGAGAGGAUGACCAGCCACACUGGGACUGAGACACGGCCCAGACUCCUACGGGAGGUAGCAGUGGGGAAUAUUGGACAAUGGGCGCAAGCCUGAUCCAGCCAUGCCGCGUGAGUGAUGAAGGCCCUAGGGUUGUAAAGCUCUUUCGCCAGGGACGAUAAUGACGGUACCUGGAUAAGAAGCCCCGGCCAACUUCGUGCCAGCCGCCGCCGUAA
rnacentral:rRNA from 1 species